rnacentral:rRNA from 1 species
UGAGAAAUUGCUCCGGAACGGGCGUAUAUGAGUACACGGAUACACAGGUGGCAUACAUCUUUUCAGCGCUGCAGUCCGAAUUGGACAAAGCCAAAAGGCGGUUCAGAAAGCCAUUGCUCAGAAAACAUCGUUUUUCAUUGACAGAUACAAACGAGUUUGAUGACGAUAGACCUUUGGAGCCGACAAUUGCACUUGCCCUUCCGGACGGAAGCUACCUUCGGGCCGUUGUCUAUGAGGACGACCACUUUCCUGCCAUCAAUAUCUAUUGGGAUCACGAUGGCGGAAAAGCUUCCGAACUGCUCUGCUUUGCAGAAUACAAUUCCGAACGGAAUGAAGGUGCGCAGGUCUGCAUCGGUACUUAUGUCUCAGACGAGGAUGAAACCCAAUAUUACGCGCCAUAUAUGGCAGAAAGGAAUAAGGAACCGUGAGUUCAAAAGUAAUAAAACUAACCUGGUCGGAGGUUGCGGAAAUGGUCCGGACAGAACUCCGAAAAAUCACUGGCUGGGAUAUUUUCUGUGUAGCAAAAUCCGAUGACGAUACUUACUGGGAUAUUAGCUUUCCUUUGGAGAGCCUUCCCUUAUCCGAUCUGCACCGUAUCCUUGAAGCACUUGAUGCAACGGAUAGUCAGCGUGAUUUGUCGCUUCCACCGGAGGAGGAUCAUGCCGACAGUGUCAGUUCACUCAGUAUGACGGUGAGCCAACUCCUACUUCGCAGGAAUCUCGGGUAUGACUGGGAAUGCCUGCAUCUUGCCGAGGACAGUUUUUGGAUACUCGGAGUGAAGGAUACUCCCGAAACCAAUGACUUUAUCAAAAUCGGCAGUCAGCGUUUCCCACUUGGCGAGCUGAAAAGCCGUCAGGAGGUACUUGAACAUCUCAGUGAAAACGGUGCUUCACAUAGGGCGCUGAUGGACAUUUGCGGGGAGUACAUGGAGAAAUAUCAAAAUGAGCUGUGCUGGUAUUACCCAACCACGGACGAGCUGCAUCUCGGCACUUUUCUGCUGCUUGUAAAAGAAGGCGUGCUGAGUCUGCCGUUCAAUGAAGUAGACAGCGUUGAUUACGAACUGUUCUGCUUAGAGGAUGCAUGCCUUUGUGACGCUGCAUCCAUAAACCCGCUGAUUGCAGACUGGUACCGCUUUGACUCAGACCUUCGCCCUGCAAUGGAGGGAAUGAGACGGUAUUACGAGAAAAAGGAGGCUGUUGGGAAUGAAAAUAAAACUGUAUCAGAUCGCUCCUGAAAAGGAUGAUAAAAACCUGAUGUUCAUGGGUUACAAAUUUACCGUAUUACACGGUGGAAUCAACGCAGAUAGCUACGAGAUCGUCUUUGACGGCCCUUGUAGUACUGGGAUCCUAACCAUAGGCCUUGAAUCAGGUCUUGGAACACCGUCAGGUGGGCAGUUUGACUGGGGCGGUCGCCUCCUAAAAAGUAACGGAGGCGCUCAAAGGUUUCCUCAGCACGGUCGGAAAUCGUGCGAAGAGUGUAAAGGCAAAAGGAAGCUUGAUUGCAAGACAUACAGGUCGAGCAAGGACGAAAGUCGGACUUAGUGAUCCGGUGGUACCGCAUGGAAGGGCCAUCGCUCAACGGAUAAAAGCUACCCUGGGGAUAACAGGCUUAUCUCCCCCAAGAGUCCACAUCGACGGGGAGGUUUGGCACCUCGAUGUCGGCUCAUCACAUCCUGGGGCUGUAGUAGGUCCCAAGGGUUGGGCUGUUCGCCCAUUAAAGUGGUACGCGAGCUGGGUUCAGAACGUCGUGAGACAGUUCGGUCCCUAUCCGUCGCAGGCGUAGGAAAUUUGAGAAGACCUGUCCUUAGUACGAGAGGACCGGGAUGGACGUACCUCUGGUGUACCAGUUGUUCUGCCAAGGGCAUGGCUGGGUAGCUAUGUACGGAAUGGAUAAGCGCUGAAAGCAUCUAAGCGCGAAGCCAACUUCAAGAUAAGAUUUCCCACCGUAAGGGUAAGACCCCAGGAAGACUACCUGGUUGAUAGGUCGAAGGUGUAAGUGCAGUAAUGUAUUUAGCUUAUCGAUACUAAUAGGUCGAGGACUUGACC